UACGUAGGCAGCAAGCGUUGUUCGGAGUUACUGGGCGUAAAGGGUGUGUAGGCGGUUUCUUAAGUUUGGUGUGAAAUCUCCCGGCUCAACUGGGAGGGUGCGCCGAAUACUGAGGGACUCGAGUGCGGGAGAGGAGAGUGGAAUUCCUGGUGUAGCGGUGAAAUGCGUAGAUAUCAGGAGGAACACCGGCGGUGUAGACGGCUCUCUGGACCGUAACUGACGCUGAGACACGAAAGCGUGGGUAGCAAACAGG
rnacentral:rRNA from 1 species